AUUAAUAAAAAAUAUUUGGAGGACAGAUAUUUUUAAGAUGACAGUUAAACACUUCUGUAGUCAUAACUAAAAAUAUAAUGAGAAGUAUAUAUUUUAUACAGAUCCUUAAGAUACUUGCAUAGUGACAAUUAUCUUAAAAACAGAUUUCUUUGAAAUGUGCUUCCAAUUACUAAGGAUGUUGAAAAGCUUUUUCUCUUAGUUCAUCUGAUUUCCUUAUAACUUUUAUUAUAUUAUGUUUAAUUUUUGAAAAUUAUUCUUAUAGAUACUAAAAACACAGACCCAAGCUAACACUGCCUGAAUUUUCAUAUAUUCUGUGGAUAUAUUUUAUUAUGUAAAAGAUAAUGACUCUACUUUUCUCUUCCCUCCUUGGGAGAACUUAGAUAAAUAUACCUUCUGACAGAAGCCAAAGCCCUUCUAAACACAAUAUUCUCUGUUCUUUUACCUAUUCCUAGCUAAUAGAUCUUGGCAUGGCUUGGCACGCCUCUUUACAUUACCCUGGUCCAACCUCUCUUGGGAACAGCACAGCUGAGUUUUUUUUUAAUUUGUUUGUUUGUUUUCUUUUACACCGGGCUGCACUGAUGCUGAAUGAAAGCACUAAUGCUGCAAUACGAUGGGGGCUGGAGUAGGCAGCAGUUCAUUUCUUCCAAUGCAAAAGCUGGUCAAACACUACACUAGUGCCAAGAGACCUAUGGAAAAAAUUAAGAAAUGAGUCCUGUCCACCAUGAAUUACAGUUUUGUCACAUGGAAAGAGACAUACACAACGGAAAUAUUUAAGGAAUAGUACAAUACAAUAGUCAAAAUGGGUACUACGUAGCUUCAAAGUUGCAGACAGAGAUGUCGUAUAGGUGAAGUAUGCCCCUUAGCAUGGUACCUACAGAGGAGACACUCAGUAAAUAUGUGGUGAAUUAAGUAAACGAGGGGACAGAAGAAAGGGAGGAAGAGAAAAAAAAGGACAAGAAGAAGAAAGGCUGCUUGAAUUUAAAAGCAGAGGUUUCCUGUGAACUGUUUUCCACGACUCAGAAGAAAAAAGCUUAUCUGUGUUUAGCUGACAAGAACACCUUCAAGACAUUUCCAGAGAGAAAGGAGAAUCAUGGCUUUUCAGUGAGAAGAUACCACAUAGAAAUAUCAUCCCCUUAUUUUACAGAUGAGCUCUUCAUGGAUCUUCUAAGGAGAAGACUCCAACUCACUAACCACUGCUGACUCAUUAAAAUCAAUUCGUAAUGUCAUGCACAUACUGUGUAUCUGUCCAAUUCAUGCACAUACAUCCAGAAUGCAGGAUGCUUUGGUAUCAAAGAACUGUUUAUGAUUGACAAAUACUUCAAUGCCCUAAGAUUCCAUUUUCAUCUUCUUUAAUAAAGAAAAAUAAAUGCAAAAAUACAUGUAAUUAAUUGCUCUGCAUUUUUCCUUCCAGAGAAAUGCAAACCGUAAAUAUCAGUAAGACAUUCUACUAAUAGCUUUAAAGGUUGGCUUAAAUCAUUAUUAAUUAUACAUUUGUACGAAGGUCUGUGAAUGCAUGUCUUGUUUUCUUAUUCAAAGGUUCAGUCAAUAAGGUCAACCCUGCCACUUGCACUCUGAAUGGCAAUGCAAAAAUUUAAUGCCUAUAGAAGUAUAAAUAGAUAUGUGUCCACAUAUAUAUCCUAGUAUCAUAAAGUUACAUUUUAACCAUGUAGCUUGCUUGUGUAUAGGAGAUUACAUUUUUCCAGGAAGGUGGGUAGAUGACUUUUUUAUUGAUUUUUUAAAAUAACUACCUAAUAAAUCUCUCUUGUUGGGCCAGCACAAGGCAAAACUAAAACAACCUCUUUAUUGUAAGGCAAAUGUGUCAUUGGAUAACUUGUAAGUUUUUUAAAUUGGGUCUUUCACUUUUCAACCUGUUCUGAGAUGAGUAACUUAUAUUGCUCCACUCAGAUUGAAUUGUGUUAUUUCUUAUCAUCACCUGACAGCAACUUUUAGAAAAAAAUUAUUGCAGUUCCUUAUAAUAAUUCUACCUCCAAUUACAUUGACUUACUAUUAUGGACAUAUAGUCAGAUGUCAAGGAAUUUUGGCAUUCACCGAGAAGUAGUUACAUUGACUUAGUUCUAGUUUUAGGUUUGAGCUUCCUAACCAAACAUGUAAAGCUUUGCAGUUCCUUAAAUCAUAGAGACUCUCACAGAAGGAUUUCUUAACCUAUGUGCAUAAAUGCCCAAGAGGUCUAUAGAUAGGCUUCGGCAGGUCCGUACAAUUUCUGACACUGUGCAAAAAUCCUCUGCACUUUUUGUGGGAGUACCACAUACCUAUCAUCAGUUUCUCAGAAGGGUUGUUGAUCCUAAAAUGAUUAAGAACCAGUGUUCUUUCUAAUUAAAUAUAACUUAAAACGGCCUCAAUUGUGGAUUUCAGAAUUAUCUUCUCUCAAUGUUCUUUGCAAAAUCAGAUUCAAAUAACCUUGUAUGUUAUAUUCAAAGCCUUCUUUUUAAAAAUGCAUAAGAAUAUUAUGCAUGAACGCUGAUUAUCCAUAGUCUUUUGUUACUUGGCCUCAGAAACUUACAGUUAACAGAUUAGCUCCCUCAUUCUAAUUGCAUUUUUUUUUUAAAUCAGAUUUUGGUUUUCAGUGUGGUAGGUAAAUCCAUCUUCCCAUUGUAUACAAACAAUAGGUUUCAGUAGUGUCAGUUAUAGAGAUCAGGACUUGAACUCUGUUAUCAAAAUGUAUGAUAAUAACUCUAGACCUGAGGAAUUGAAGACUGGCAUGAACUCAGAAAGUCACAGGCUCGUCAAGAGACAUUGCCCAAUAUUUGUCCUUAUAAAAAUCAUCUUUCAGAUAAAAUGAAGCUUCUGCAGCUUUGUUAUACAGACUAAAUAUGCAAACAUCUUAUUUAAGGGGAGAUUUUGAUAAAUUAGUUUUCUCCUUCUGAGAGAAUUGUCUGGAAAUAUGUACCUAAUGAUGUAGAAUUAUAACAGAUUUUUUAAAGGUCUUUGGAAACAGGAUUCACUUUCGAUAUCACUUCGAGAGACAUACAAACUCUAAGGCCUCUUAUCAAAAAGAGAAUAGAGAUUGGAGGCAUCAAUAGAAAGAUGAUACUUUCUAAGACAUUGUACCUAAUCAUCUGUGAAUAGGUUUAUGUGAUGAUGGAAGCCGAUCAGGGCCUGUGGUGAUCAAGGCAUUGUGGUAGUGGCAGCACCACAUUUUUGUGCAGUCAGACACAAACUGGCAUUCUAGUACCUGCUGCCUCAGGAAAUGCCAGAACAGUGCCUAUGUGGACCAAGGUCUCACAGAUGACCUCAUCCCGCAAACCCUUGGCUACAUAGCACCUGUUUAGUGGCCCUGGCCCUUGCUUUUAAGAAAAGGUUCCAACUGAGGGCAAUUAUGUCCCCCAUAGUAUAUUUGGCAAUGUCUGUGAAUAUUUUUGACUGUCACAACUAGAGAGGUAUUGCUGGCAUCUCAUGGGUAGAAGUCAGGGACACUGCGAAAUAACCUACAAUGCAUAGGACAACCCUCACGACAGAGAAUUACCUAUCCCAUGUGUCAAUAGUGCUGAGGUUGAGAAACCCUGCCCUAAAGCCAUGCCGCUUUGAUGACCGUAAGAGGUUAUAUAGAUAGGUUCUAUUUAGACCCACACUACCCAUAGGGUCACUAAAGUUUAGCCCAUUUGACAGAUUUUGAAAUUGCAAUGCUUUGGACAGAGUGAAGUAGAAAAUAUCCUAAAUGUCCUUUCAUUACAGGUUAACACCUAUUCCUUUCCCCAAAAUGCAGAUUAAAUGUCACCUUCUACAGGAACACUUCUCAUGUUAGCAUUAUGCUUCCAUGUAUUCUCAUGAUACCAUGUGCUUACUCUAAUUGCAGCUCUGAUUAUUUCCUGUUCCCCUACCAGGUUAUAAAUUCAUUGAGAACUUGCUGUUUUUAUUAAUCCUUGGGUCUUAGUACCUACCAGAGCUUGGCACAUAAUAAGUACGCAAUAAAUAUAUGUUGAAGGAAAGAGCAAGCUUGGAGAAGUGACUUAAAUUCUCCAUGACCAACAUCCAUCCAGAAUGAAUUUACUCAAGGCUAGUACUAGCAAGCACACUGGCCCCAAGGACAUUUGGCCCCAUGACCUCUGAGGACAUGAAACUGGGGAAUGUCUCACCCCAUGGCCUGUAGGUUUACCAGCAUGAUGGUGGAAAUUUUGGGUCAGCCAUAGCCAUACUAGUCAUAAUGACUUUCAAAUUUUAUUUAAGUAUUUAUUUUAAUAAUAAUAAUUGUAGACAGUCACAGGGUACAGAGUGAUGUUUUGAUACAUAUAAUGUAUAGUGAUCAGAUGAGGGUGAUUAGCACAUCAACAUCAUCUCAAACAUUCAUCAUUUCUUUGUAUUGGGAACAUUCAAUAGCCUCCUUCCAGCUAUUUGAAACCGUAUAUUAGCAUUAACUAUAGUAAUCCUACAGGAGUAUAGAACACUACAGUUUAUUUCUCUUAUCUCUCUUAUUUAGCUAUGAUUUUUGUUUACUUUAAUGAAUCUCUGCCUAUCCUGAAAUGCUAAAGAAUCAAGAUUUUAGAGACAAUAAGAUCUGGUCCUAGGCCUAGAACCCCUGCAUGAGAGGAACCAGGGACAGAAUUCUCCCUAGAUACCUUUUCUCAGGAAGAAAGAAGGAUACUUUUAAUGAGCUUGACUUUGCAGUCUCCAUUCCACAGAGUUUCUCCCUUCAUUGAAGAAGGAAGACCAAUAGUGACCUCAAUAAGUACUUGAACAAAUAGCUGGGGAGCACAGUAUUCAUAACCACCAAUACUCAGCUCCCACCGAUACUCAGGCACAAGUCAAUUAAAGGGUUGGACUACGAGCAAGGACAGUUCUUAUUUUGGCUGCCUGUAGAUUACACCAAAAUCCACAAGAAAGGGGAAUAGCUAAGCUUAGAAUAAUUUAUAAAUGCACUUUGUGUUAAGAACAAUACUCUUGAGAUUAUAAAACAAAGGAACAUCAUGUUGAAAAAGGGAAAAGAGCAACUCUGAUUAUAUUAAAUCAACAAUAAUUUGCUAUAUACAUGAUUAUGGAAUAUAAAACAAAAUGAUCUAAUUUUUCCAGAUAGCAUGGGGCUCUUGUAUUACAUUGUGCUAUUAUAUGACAAAGCACAUCAAAUAUGAUUUCAGCAAAAUACUUAACAUAGGUAUAAGUAAUAUAUUCCUGACAUGAGUUUACAUCAGGAAGAAAACACAGGGACAUUUCAGAACAUUCAACUUUAUUUUCCAUUGACAAACACGACAUAAAUAACACACAUUUAUUAAAUACACAUACUAGCUAUGGCUUGAAUGGCAACAAAAGUCUAAUGUAUUUUCAGAGGCUCUUUAUUUUUUUGUCUCCACAGUAUUGAAGACCAGCCUUUAAAACAUACUAGAAGAUAUAUUUAAAUACACUGACGAUAACUACCCAUGAAACUUUACAUAGAGGUGAUAAAAUAGACUUUUCCAUUUAAUCAAGUAUAUAGGGAUGGAUGCUGUGGAGGAGAGGUGAAGAACACUAUUCUUUCAAUACUGAUCUUUACAAUAUGGAUUAGAGUGCCAAUGAUUUCAACUCCUCCUUAGGCACACCAUGUAAAUAGUACUUACAUCCACUUGUUACAAACAGAUCAAAAUAAUCAGUGCCUAUUUUAAUUGAUUUGCUUAAACAGGCUUAUACUAUUUGUACAAAAAUAUUUGAUAAGGAGAGCAAGAAGGCAAACUAUUUUUUUCUCUUUCGAGGAAGAAAGUUGGGAAGGAAGAGAGUUCAGCAGCCAAUAAUGGCCUGAGUGAACUUAUCAUUUGCUUUGACAGACAAGACCCCUGGCCACUCAGUAGUUUGUCCUACUGAUGCUCAAGUGUUCAAAGAUAAAUGCAAUCAGCCCCUUCCUCUCUUUGCUUCCAGGGCCUGGCGCAAAAUGAUGAAGUUCAACAGGUAGAAAAUGGACAGGUUUUCCAUCAUAUCUUUUUCUGUGUUCUCUGCCCCACCUACAUGAAUGUCCUUUCAAAAGUAGAACAUUGAAGUGUGUUAGUAAAUCAUAUGCAUUUCCCCCUGCUUAACAUUACAGCUUUGAUUUCUACACACAUGGAAAACUGUAUAAGGAAUCUAUAUUUGAAUUCCUAUUAAAGUUUGAUGAUUGGCUGUUUUUGCCUAGAUGUUUGGCUCGCUUUAAUUAAAGGAUUAAAAUAUUCUAAUUCUAAAGCAUUUAACAAUAGUAUUGAGGAGAUGCAUGAAUGAUAAUAACUUGAGAAGUAGAAUCAUCUCCAAAUUGCUCAAAAAAGCAUGAAAAGGCUGACUUGUUUCUAAUGGUGAUCUCUUUCCUUCUCAUCUUUACUCCCAUAAUAAAUUCUUCAACAAAGCAGACUUACUACACAACAGAUUCUGAUCUGUUUCACAUAUUAGGGUACUGGCACUUUAAAAAUAUGAAGUUAUUAUCUCUCCUCUUAAAAACAAUCCCAGCCUCACCAACAGGAAAUAUGUUUGUUACUUUCUCUCUGUGAAAGAAUGGAUAAGCACCGUAGAGUCAAGGGGACUAGGAGAAAACAGUGUAGUUUCAAAUGAAGAAAUAUGUAAUGUAGUAGAUAUCUGGGUUGCUUAUUAUAUGAAGCUGAUUGAUACAAAGCUUCUGAAAAUAAGAUAAUUUUUAUUCUCAGGGAAGAAAAUGUGUGACAUAUAAAUGAAUAUGAUAUGUAUCUGAUUGAAUUAUAUUUCUAGAGAAUCAUAAUGCACUCUGCUUAUGGUAUCAUAAUGUAAUGGUAUAUGACUAAACUUGUAUAAAUUAUAACCCUUAAAUAGAAUCUUCAUUUUAGGAAUUACAAAACAGAGAACAUAUCAAAUAAAACGUUUCUCCUAAUUCUUUUAUCAUCAUCACCACCUAGUUUCCUUACAAUACUGAACUAAUGUCAGCUUCUUAACAAAUAUGUAUGUGAGUUUAGGUUGGUUAUUAAAUUUUGUAAAUUGGCUCGAUCAUAACCUAUGUCAUGAAACAUCACAGACAUCUGUCACUUUGUGUCAGCACUUUAUUGCAACUCAGAAAAGUCUUAUGGACUAAGCCACAGUUGCACAAUUCUGUACAUUUUUUAGACCUCCGUUUUAACAGAUUUUGAGAUAUAUAAACAUAUAAAACAAGCAAUAAACAAGCAGCUGUUAAAUUUUGUCAUUGUUGAUGGUUUGUACUUGUUAUAUAUAUAAAAGAUAGAAAUUUUAAUUCUUCAAGUUAAGUUUUUUGCAUGUUUGUAAUAAUAAAUGCUCUGUAGGCUCCCCAUGUCAUUCAGCUCCUAGAAUCCUGUGUAUUGCAGGAGAAGCUUUUGGGGUUAAAUUAUGAAAAUAAAUAGAUACUAUGCAUGUCUAAAAUUUCAAAGAACAAAAGUUUUCUAUGUUCUUUUUCUGAGUUGAUCUCAACCAAAAGAACUAUUAAAUGAUUGCUGAUGUGGAGAAGGUUGAAAGCUGACCAAUAAUUUGGAGUCAAAAAGAACAAAAUUAUAAAAAGCAUUGAAUAAAUAAAAAGCCUAAUCUACUUGAAAAUCCAAUAUUAGAAUACUGCCACAGUGUGACCCCCUUAUUAAAAUACUGUUUGCCAGUUUUUAGUUUGUCUGUCACUCAACACCAAUGUGCUCACAGGAUCUUUCAUAGUUAACUUACAUGAGGUUUUGCAAUUAUUUUCUGCAACAUGGUCAAGAGAUAUUUUAUAAAAUAAAGAAAUGUAAGUGGAAAUAUAUGUAUACCUUGUAUUUCAGACUAGUUUAAAUCUGGCAUGAUUAAACACUUACAUUUACCUAAAAUAUCUUGGGAUAUAUACAGCACGAGGUUAAUUUGGUAAAUAUUGAGAUAACUCAUUUUUGUUUCUUCAACUUCAAGAUAUUUUUAAGACAUUCAUCAUAGCUAUUUUAUUUGAAAAGUAAACUGCUCUCAUUAAGUAACAUGUGAUCAUUCUCAUCUAUGACUCAGCAUAGUAUAUAAAUUCAUUGUUUGGAAAAUAAACCCUACUUGGUAAAAUUGACACUUGCUAAUUUUACAUAUAUUUCUACAUUUCAUUCGCUUACUUCUUCCAACAUGGUUUUCUUGGCCUUUAAUUGUCUUUUAACCAAUACUUCAAAGUUCAGGAAUAUCAUAAUCUAUACAUGCAUUUUUCCUGAUUAGACAUAUGCAUGGACAAACUAAGUAUACAUGAGUGAACUUGAAAGCCAAUAAAAUUAAACUUAGACACGUCUUUCUGCUGUGACUACGUAUAUCCUCUUUCUAACCACCGCCUUAGUCUCUGUACAUCUCUGAAAUCUAACCUCAGCCAUCACAAAAAGGCUGAAAUCAUUUGGGAUUUUCAUUUUUUAUCAGGUUUCCCUGGACUAACGAAUGUCUAGAUAACAAAACUCAUAUGCCAUUCACCUAAUUUCUUUCUUUUCCACCUCCCUUUCAAGCUUGUUAAAAAAAAAACACAAAAGCUGCCAUUCAUCCCCUCCUAAAAUAUAUCUCCUGGGCAGGAAUUUAUUUUGCAGUUAAGAAUAAGUUUCAGGCUUUUUGGCUUUCUGUAUUUUUGUGGUUAGAUGAAAAGUGAUAUUCUUUUGGUAGUAAUAUCCACUAUCAUUUGUAAGUAUCGGUCUCCUAAAUUAUUAGUAUAAAUAAAGCACUUUGUUUUACAGCAAUAUGACACUGCACCCUUGAAGGUAAAUUCAUAUUUCUGUAAUUAAAUAAGAAGAAAUAAUUCACUUUAUCAGCCUGAUGGACUGUAAUGGCAUGAAGCACUUCAAUCAUAUGGUAUGUGCCUUGCCAAUGUGUACUGUUCUGGCAAACUUCUGCUUAUUGAUUCACUGAAUAAAUAUUUAUUGGACAAUUUCUAUAUUCCAGGUGUUAUACUAGAUGCUGGAAGGAAUAACUUAAUCAUGCUCAUGCCACUCAAAUCUACACUGCCUCUGUGUCUAUCUGAUUAGAACUUAGGGUCACAGGACCACCCAAGAGGUAAAGCCUCUUUAUUAUGUGAUUUAAGUGCACUUUUGAAAAAAAGUAGGUAGUUUUGUCUUAUACUCAAUGAGUUGACCCAUGGGAUAAUCCAAUUCUAUGGCAUAGAGAGGUUUUAGUAUAGUCUAUUUAUCUUUUCCAAAAUUUAGAUUAGUAGAACCAUCAUGAAUUACAUAAGCGCUCUCAGCAGAUUUUGUCUGCAAAUUCAAUUUGACAUGAUCAUUUAAAAUGAUUAGUCCCGAUGACAUAGGCUGGUGUAUAUAUCAAUCUGAUAAGACAUAUUGCACCUACCGAAAUUAAUUCUUUACCAAAUGACCACUAAACACACGCACAAAUAUGCAGUUACUACAAGAAGUAUAAAUAAAUCUCAAGCUUUUAAAAAACUAGAAAAGCAGUACAAGAAACUGCAAAUGAAAAUCUUUGCAAUAAAAAGUUAAUGGGUUUACAAAAUGAAUGCACCAAAGAAUAUGACAAGCUUUGUGCAGGCGUAAACUACAGGAUUACUAUGUUUGGUGGGGAGACAUUUCUAAGAAGUGCAAUUCCCAAAACUUAAUGUAGUGAUCUACUGGUGCACAAAUAUGUCAGGCUUAGCUAUUGAGGUUUGUACUCAUGUGGACUGUAGGAAAAACAUUUUAGUAAUAAAUAUUUAGAUAGAGCCACUUUGGGGAGCAGGCAGAAGAGCUGUGAAGGGUCAAUGUUAUUAAUUUUCUUAUAUAAAUAGGCCAAACAAUGGAAAGUAUUCACUGACUCUUCAAAAUAUUUAUUUGUUUUGGACUCAGUAUUGAAAUGUAAUGAGUCAAAGACUGGGGAACACUUUUGGUGAAAAAU